UACGGGGGGGAGCAAGCGUUGUUCGGAUUUACUGGGCGUAAAGGGCGCGUAGGCGGUCGUGACAAGUCACUUGUGAAAUCUCCGGGCUUAACUCGGAACGGUCAAGUGAUACUGUCGGACUAGAGUACAGAAGGGGCAAUCGGAAUUCUUGGUGUAGCGGUGAAAUGCGUAGAUAUGCGGAGGAACACCGAUGGCGAAGGCAAUCCCCCUGGGCCUGCACUGACGCUCAUGCACGAAAGCGUGGGGAGCAAACAGG
rnacentral:rRNA from 1 species